rnacentral:rRNA from 1 species
UAGGGAAUCUUGCGCAAUGGGCGAAAGCCUGACGCAGCGAUGCCGCGUGAGGGAUGAAGGCCUUCGGGUCGUAAACCUCUUUCGACAGGGAAGAAGCCACGGGUAACCGUGGUGACGGUACCUGUAAAAGAAGCCCCGGCUAACUACGUGCCAGCAGCCGCGGUAAAACGUAGGGGGCGAGCGUUGCCCGGAUUCACUGGGCGUAAAGCGCGUGUAGGCGGUCUGUUAAGUCGGAUGUGAAAUCUCUGGGCUUAACCCAGAAAUUGCAUCCGAUACUGGCAGACUUGAGGACGGUAGAGGUCGGUGGAAUACCCGGUGUACCGGUGAAAUGGGCAGAUAUCGGGUGGAACACCAGUGGCGAAGGCGGCCGACUGGGCCGUUCCUGACGCUGAGACGCGAAAGCCAGGGGAGCGAACCG